rnacentral:rRNA from 1 species
GAUGAACGCUGGCGGCGUGCCUAAUACAUGCAAGUCGAGCGAACGGACGAGAAGCUUGCUUCUCUGAUGUUAGCGGCGGACGGGUGAGUCACACGUGGAUAACCUACCUAUAAGACUGGGAUAACUUCGGGAAACCGGAGCUAAUACCGGAUGAUAUUUUGAACCGCAUGGUUCAAAAGUGAAAGACGGUCUUUCUGUCACUUCUAGCUGGAUCCGCGCUGCAUUAGCUAGUUGGUAAGGUAACGGCUUACCACGGCAACGAGGCAUAGCCGACCUGAGAGGGUGAUCGGCCACAUGGGAGCUGAGACACGGUCCAGACUCCUACGAGAGGCAGCAGUAGGGAAUCUUCCGCAGUGGGCGAAAGCCUGACGGAGCAACGCCGCGUGAGUGAUGAAGGUCUUCGGAUCGUAAAACUCUGUUAUUAGGGAAGAACAGAUGUGUAAGUAACUGUGCACAUCUUGACGGUACCUAAUCAGAAAGCCACGGCUAACUACGUG